AAAAACCAUGGACCUCCGUGAAAAGUUGUCUAGGGCAGUGCAUCCUUCAGGCCCUCCACCCAGUAGUCUUGAUGCACGGCAGCGCAUGCCUGAUACUAAGGACAAUAGUAUCUUGGGUCGAAUUCCGCCUACAAGAAGUGCUGAUAAUUUACCACGGAUAGAUUCAUCAAGAAAUUCUUAUUCUCCGUGGACAUUGGAUCAUAUACGAAGGAGAUCUCCAGAUAGAAUUAUAGGUAGUUCUAGGGGCUUAUCCCCACCCAGAAAUGUGGAGGAAUUACAAAGAAGACAAUUAAACAGUACGUUUGAUGAUGCAAGAACAGUUUCAUACAUGAAUAAGGAUGUUCUCGAUGCUUCAAGGCCUGUGAACAGUUCCACAGCUUUCAUGACUAAGUCUGUGUUGCCUGCAGCAUCUACAAAGCCUGCGGUGCCUUUUGUGGGCCAACUUCGUCCUCCACCAAGUGGGAUUCUACAUAAGAGCUCAUAUGCGGGUGAAGAACAACAGACUGUUGAAAGCCUGUUACAUUCACUGGGAUUGGGGAAAUAUGCCAUUAUCUUUAAGGCUGAGGAAGUGGAUAUGACUGCAUUGAAGCAGAUGAGGGAAAAUGACCUCAAAGAGCUGGGAAUACCUAUGGGACCAAGAAAAAAGAUUCUUCUGGCUCUCCCGGCUCGUUCCAAGAGACAACCUUGAUGAUUGUACUACCAUAGCAAAACUGUGGUAGGGAUUUAGGUCAAAUUCUUUUUCUCGAAGUUCCACCCUGCAUUUCUUCUCAGAUUAGAUUGGAAGUGCUCUAUGAAUCCGUAUGAAAUUUUUGCGUCCAACAAUUAUUCGGUUACUAUUUUGAAUUAGAUUGAAUGCGGCAAAAUACUUUUGAGAUGUAAAAUAUUGACUAUUAUUGUUAGAUUGCUUUUCAUGUAUUCUUUUUUCACAUACCUGAUUAUGCUUGUCGGUAUUCAAGCUGUAUCCGUAGAAUACGCUCAUGAUGUAAAGAAUUAACUUGGAUAUGGAUGUUGUAUCAAUUUUUAGGAGCAUCUGAGUUGGAUUUUUGUUCCUUCGUAGAUUUUCCACAUAUUUUAAGCAAAGCUGAAUUAGCAAAAGCCAGAGCGAAGGAGGAUUUUUCACGUUUAUAUAUUACUUUGAUUGCCAG
rnacentral:misc_RNA from 1 species